rnacentral:rRNA from 1 species
UACGGAAGGUGCAAACGUUGCUCGGAAUCAUUGGGCGUAAAGCGCACGUAGGCGGCUUGUUAAGUCGGAUGUGAAAGCCCUGGGCUCAACCCAGGAAGUGCAUUCGAAACUGGCGAGCUUGAAUAUGGAAGAGGGUCGCGGAAUUCCCGGUGUAGAGGUGAAAUUCGUAGAUAUCGGGAGGAACACCAGUGGCGAAGGCGGCGACCUGGGCCAAUAUUGACGCUGAGGUGCGAAAGCGUGGGGAGCAAACAGG